UACGUAGGGUGCAAGCGUUGUCCGGAAUUAUUGGGCGUAAAGGGCUCGUAGGCGGUUUGUCGCGUCGGGAGUGAAAACACCGGGCUUAACUCGGUGCUUGCUUUCGAUACGGGCAGACUAGAGUGCGGUAGGGGAGACUGGAAUUCCUGGUGUAGCGGUGAAAUGCGCAGAUAUCAGGAGGAACACCGGUGGCGAAGGCGGGUCUCUGGGCCGUAACUGACGCUGAGGAGCGAAAGCUAGGGGAGCAAACGGG
rnacentral:rRNA from 1 species